AAAAAAAAAACGGCCGUUUUGGAGGCGGGGCUUCUUCUUGGCUGUAAAUUGUAAAAUUUGCCUCAGACAAUCUCGGGACGCCGAGAGAGAAGGCAGCUUGGCCUGGGAGCCAUUCUGAAGGCCUGGGUCGGAAGAAAGAAAGAAAGAAAGAAAGAAAGAAAGAAAGGGCAGCCGCGGCUAGAAGGCCCGAAGAGACAGGCUCCGUUUCUGAAGCAGAAAUGGCAAAGCCUUGUGAAACGGAUGGAAGAAAUAAAGGCAAAAUUUUUGAAAAUUUCCACAGCUUUUUCUAAAGGGACCAGCGCUGAAUUCAAGUCAACGUGAAGAAAGAAACAAAAGGUCGAGAGACAGAGGACGGAAGAUGCUUGAAGACACCCUCGCAAGGACACCGCCUGCCUCCCAAAAAAGGUCGUUUUCAGGGUAAUUGGUGUAAUGGUAGGCAUUUAAUGUCUAUCUUUGCAUUAAAAAAAGGGUUACCUUUGCACACGGUUCCCCUCGCGUGUGGCAUCGAAGAAGUCCCACUCGGGAACGGACGGGUCCUCCCUUUGUUCUAGGCAGAUGAUGGGUCUUCCUAUACGGGCCGUAGGGGUCACAGCUUGGGGGUCAGCGGGGGGCCCCGCCCUGGCAUCGCGGGGGGCAGCACACAUUACGGGCAUUUUAAGAUGUCCUUGCAACUUAGAAAUAAAAAUAUCAAUACCUUAACUCACUUACUAACAUCCUACUAACACCAUUGUAAAUAGGGUACCCUGCCCUUUUAAAUAGGACUGUGUUCUGCCUGAUGGCAAGAACCAAGCUGGGAAGGGAGGGGGCCUCCUGGCCCCCCAUAAAAGGGCCCCCAUGGAAGGACAUUGCAAAAGGCCCCUAAGGUGUCCUGAGAGCAGCCUCUUGGUCCUCAGUGUUCCCCACGGGGCCAGGGCUGGGCCCCUCGCUCUCCCCCAACCCAUGGACCCUGCCGCUUGUAUAUCAUCCGCCCAGGGCCAACGGACGCCCCCUCCCUCCCCGGGCGGAGCUUCGAGGCCACACUCAAGGGGAGACCAGAGCCGUGUGCCUCAUGCCAACGCCUAGCACGUGGCGAACCUUUUUUUUUUACUGCAAACAUAGGCAUCAUGAUUGUGAUUUUUGUUAAUUCCUUUUAAAUUUAAUUGUUUGUAUUCGAUAGCAUGGUAGGCUGGUUUUAUAUCAGUGAGCCGCCCCGAGUCCCUCUGGGGAGACGGUGGCAGGGUACAAAAAUAAAAUUAUUAUUAUUAUUAUUGAUUCGAGGCACCUGGAAAAAGAAAUACCAGGAAGCAGAUAAAAUUAUUAUUAUUAUUAUUAUUAUUAUUAUUAUUAUUGAUUCGAGG